rnacentral:tRNA from 1 species
AUCUGACUGUAAAGAGCCUGCCUGCAGUGCAGGAGACCCGGGUUCGAUCCCUGG